GAAGCCCGCCAGACCGCCGCUGGUGCAAUCUGGGAAACCAGGCACUGGAGGAACGUCCGGACUGCAUAGGGCAGCGUAGCAGCUAAUGGCUGUCCACCGUGAGGUGAGGAUUAGAGCAACAGAGACGAGUUCGGUCAGGUCAGCCCAGCAAGGGUGGUCUGUGCGGUACCUGCGCAAGCGGGUACGCGGAUGGCGCAAGCCAGACGCUCCCGGCGCAAGCCGGGAAUAGCACAGCACCUCGGUCGGGCAAAGCCCGACCGAGGUGAAACGGGCAAUCUCUACGCGCAGCAAUACCAAAUAGGCCAACGUUGACGGGGCCCCCUGAGUUGGCGGGUAGGUAGCACCGAGCCGGGCGAGCGAUCCCCGGCCCAGAUUAAUGGCGGUCACACACAGGGCAACCUGUGCGCACAGAAUCCGGCUUAUCGGCGGGCUUCACAC
rnacentral:RNase_P_RNA from 1 species